ACAACUGUAUGCGGUGGAUCACUCGGCUCGUGCGU
rnacentral:rRNA from 1 species